rnacentral:rRNA from 1 species
UACGUAGGGUGCAAGCGUUACUCGGAAUUACUGGGCGUAAAGCGUGCGUAGACGGUUAUGUAAGUCGGGUGUGAAAGCCCCGGGCUCAACCUGGGAAUUGCAUUCGAGACUGCAUAGCUAGGGUGCGGAAGAGGGAAGCGGAAUUUCCGGUGUAGCGGUGAAAUGCGUAGAUAUCGGAAGGAACACCAGUGGCGAAAGCGGCUUCCUGGUCCAGCACCGACGUUCAGGCACGAAAGCGUGGGGAGCAAACAGG